rnacentral:rRNA from 1 species
CAGCAGCCGCGGGAAAACGGAGGGGGCUAGCGUUGUUCGGAAUUACUGGGCGUAAAGCGCACGUAGGCGGCUUGGUAAGUUAGAGGUGAAAGCCCGGAGCUCAACUCCGGAAUUGCCUUUAAGACUGCCGAGCUAGUAGGUGAGAGAGGUAAGUGGAAUUCCGAGUGUAGAGGUGAAAUUCGUAGAUAUUCGGAAGAACACCAGUGGCGAAGGCGGCUUACUGGCUCAUUCUAGACGCUGAGGUGCGAAAGCGCGGGGAGCAAACAGGAUUAGAUACCCCUGUAGUCCCUGUCUCUUAUAC